rnacentral:rRNA from 1 species
GUUGAUCCUGGCUCAGGAUGAACGCUAGCUACAGGCUUAACACAUGCAAGUCGAGGGGCAGCAUGUUGGUGCUUGCAACCAAUGAUGGCGACCGGCGCACGGGUGAGUAACGCGUAUCCAACCUUCCCUAUAGUAGAGGAUAGCCCGGCGAAAGUCGGAUUAAUACUCUAUGUUUUCCAAUGCAGACAUCUAAGUUGGAACAAAGGUUCACCGCUAUAGGAUGGGGAUGCGUCUGAUUAGAUAGUCGGCGGGGUAACGGCCCACCGAGUCGACGAUCAGUAGGGGUUCUGAGAGGAAGGUCCCCCACAUUGGAACUGAGACACGGUCCAAACUCCUACGGGAGGCAGCAGUGAGGAAUAUUGGUCAAUGGGCGAGAGCCUGAACCAGCCAAGUAGCGUGCCAGGAUGACGGCCCUAUGGGUUGUAAACUGCUUUUAUACAGGGAUAAAGUGACGUACGUGUACGUUAUUGUACGGUACUGUAUGAAUAAGGACCGGCUAAUUCCGUGCCAGCAGCCGC